UACGUAGGUCCCGAGCGUUGUCCGGAUUUAUUGGGCGUAAAGCGCGCGUAGGCGGUGCGGUAAGUCAGGGGUUAAAGGCUGCAGCUCAACUGCAGUAAGGCCUUUGAUACUAUCGCGCUAGAGUACCAGAGAGGAUGGCGGAAUUCCCGGUGUAGCGGUGAAAUGCGUAGAGAUCAGGAGGAACACCGAUGGCGAAGGCAGCCCCCUGGGCCUGUACUGACGCUCAUGCACGAAAGCGUGGGGAGCAAACAGG
rnacentral:rRNA from 1 species